rnacentral:ribozyme from 1 species
UGCCCAGCAACUCCUAUCCCUACCUCCUCGCGGUACCGGCCGGAAACUAUGAGCAACAGCAACCUUAAGGAAGAUCGGG